AGGCGCACGUCUCCAGCCAAACUUCUCUACAUGAUGACGUAAUCAACUAGCGCCACUUGUAGCAGCUAUCCAAAGAUGAGCUAGUUUGCUUUUUACAACACAGCGACUGGAGUCGAAAGACACGACGUGAUUAUUUGUAACUGUCUAACAGCUACAACAUUGCCGAACUAGUUAAUUGUGUGUAGCUGGUGUUGUUGCCGAAUAUAAAGACAAGACUCAUUUGCUGUGUCGUUUUUUUUUCUUUUUUCUUACGGGCCACAUCACCCCUAACCCCGCACACCCUUUUAAAUCCAGAAUUUCAACACAACAAAGAUGGAGGAGCUCCAUGCCCACUGCCUGAACUGUGUGAACCGGAGGUGUAUGAUUCGCACAGAGACUGGUAUGUCCUGUGAUCUCAUUGGCUGUCCUCUUGUCUGUGGGGCAGUCUUCCACUCCUGUAAAGAGGAGGAGCAUCAUUUACUAUGCCCAUUUGAAAGAGUGCCUUGCCUCAACACUGGAUUUGGGUGCCCUUUCACUAUCCCCCGGAUUAAGAUGGCUAAACACCUUGAGACGUGCCCGGCCAGUGUGGUGUGUUGCACCAUGGAGUGGAACCGUUGGCCUGUGAGCUAUUCAGACAGGAAGUCCUAUGAGCAUUUGAGCAAUGUUGAAGUGGUGGAGCAGCUAGACAUGGCCCUGGCUCUGCAAGAUCAGAGGAUGCUACUGGAGUCUCUUAGAGUCACCACCAACACGUCAAAGAACAGAUCUAGUAAAUCGGCUGAGGAAACGUGUUACAAGAUCGCUGAUGUAAUGUCAAGUGUACAAGAGACUGACAUUAGUAAUGGAGUGGUUGAAAUGGAUGAGGCUGCUGCUUUGACUAAUGGAGUGGUUGAAAUGGAAGAUGAUGAUGAGUCUUAUAGUGAGGUACACAAAAUAAAGUUAGCAGCUACCUUGGCCGUCCUCAGAACUGCCAAGGACAUAGACUUGAUCAGUGUAAAUGUUGAGAACGGUGAGAGAGAAGGGUUUCUCCAUAGGGGAGAGGACAAUGAUAAUCAUAAUGAUUUGAAGAAUGUAGAGAUGAAGGCAAGUGGCACAGAGUCGGGCUGUGAGCUCGGAGCAGUGGGCGGAGUCGGAGUGGACUGUGGAUUUGGAACAGACGGGCAGGGAGACGAGAGCUAUUGGAUAGAGUCUCCAGAGGAAGUGGAGAAGGACCAUGUGAUGGGUCUUGCUGAGGUGGGUUGUCCUCCUCUCAGUAAUGGUUUCAACCAUGCAGGAGACAACCAAAAUCGCUUGAGACAGCGUGAGUGGAUGGAUCUGAGCAGAUCUCCACCCAGACGCUCUGAAGUCAACAGGUUUUCAGACUUCAGGCUGGUGAUGCCUUAUCUCUCCAUGCCUAAUAUAGUAGCACCCCUGGAGACCUCUGGGCCCCACCCUCCACCACUACCCAUCCACCUGCCUCUUCCCAUGCCUCUCCCUAAUCUGGAGCCCUACAACAUGCUCCAGCAUCUGCCCUUGGAGAUAGAAGACAGGUGGCUGGAGAGGAAACUUCAGAACCUCCAGGUGCUCAGAGGGAUGAGUGUGUUUACAUUUAACGGGCGCAGGGCUCUGAUGUCUGACCCCUAUCUGUUCAGAGCCAAAAUGGAGGACAAGUCCGUGGACACCUCAGACCUGGAGGUAACUGACGAUCCAUUGGGGCUCCAUGGAAUCGACCUGAUCACGGCAGCACUGCUCUUCUGUCUGGGGGACUCCCCUGGGGGCCGCAGCAUCUCAGACAGCAGGUUUGUAGACGGCUACCACGUCGACUUUGGUACCCAGACCUUCUCCUUCCCCUCGGCUAUACUGGCCACUAACACCAUGGUGGGGGAUAUCGCCUCAGCGUCGGCCUGUGAUCACGCCAGCCCUCAGCUCUCCAACCCCAGCCCCUUCCACUCUCUCCGGCUGGACCUGGUUCUGGAGUGCGUGGCCCGUUACCAGACCAAGCAGCGCACCAUGUUCACCUUCGUGUGUGGACAGCUGUUCCGCAGGGACGAGUUCUCUUCGCAUUUCAAAAACGUUCACGGGGACAUCCACGCCGGCCUGAAUGGCUGGCUGGAGCACCGCUGUCCCCUGGCCUACUACGGCUGCACCUAUUCCCAGAGACGCUUCUGUCCCUCUGUUCAGGGCUCCAGGAUCAUCCAUGACAGACACCUGGGCUCAUUUGGGGUACGGCCCGACAUGCCUCCCCAGUACGGCGAUAAACCCCUCCCCAGGAAUGCCUGUCGGUUCGGGUCCACCUGCGACCACCUGAGCUCCUUGCCCUUUGAGCUGCAACAGUAUGUGGCCAGUUUCCUGGAUGGCUUCAGCCUGUGCCAGUUUUCCAGGGUCUCUCGGACAAUGAGGGAUGUUUGUGGCAGUUUACUGCAGUCCAGAGGCAUGGUGGUGCUGCUCUGGGAGAACACACGAAGGCCUGAUGGGUCAUCCUCAUGGCAGAUCCAAAACAAGGUGUGGCGAUUUAGCACAGCCUUCGGUACAGUGAAGGAGUGGAAGUUUGCCAACAUCACCAGUAUGGCCGACCAUCUGAAGAAGUGCAAGUUUAACACCAUCACCGGUCGGGACGAGGCCAUCCCUCUGCCCUGCAUGUGCUUAUCCAGAGAGCUCACCAAAGAGGGACGCUCACUGCGCUCAGUCCUCAAGCCGGUAUUAUGAAUAACUCUAUAAAAGGGUUAGAGUCCAUGGGGUAUGUCUAAAAUGGUACCCUAUUAAAAGUAGUGCACUAUGUAAGCUUUAGGGUACUAUUAUGGACGUAGCUCAUUUCAAUCAAUUCAGUAAGUUCUUACAGACGUACUCCCAGGAUCCACUGAAUUGAAAUGCACUCCAACCCUGCUCUAUGAUAAGCAAAUACAAAAUGCUGCUAUCGUUCUCUUCCGGUCUUGACAGGAAAAAAACGGAAUUGUUUUCAACCUAUUUGAUAUGCAUACACACGGAGUGGACAAAACCUGCUCUUUCCAUGACUGACUGACCAGGUGAAUCCAGACGAAAGCUAUGAUCCCUUAUUGAUGUCACCUGUUAAAUCCUCUUCAAUCAGUGUAGAUGAAGGGGAGGAGACAGGUGAAAGAAGGAUUUUUAAGCCUUGAGACAUGGAUUGUGCAUGUGUGCCAUUCAGAGGGUGAAAGGGGCAAGACAAAAGAUUAAAGUGCCUUUGAAUGGGGUAUGGUAGUAGGUGCCAGGCGCACCAGUAUGAUUGUGUCAAGAACUGCAACGCUGCUGAGUGUUUCAUGCUCAACAGUUUCCUGUGCGUAUCAAUAAUGGUCCACUACCCAAAGGACAUCCAGCCAACUUGACACAACUGUGGGAAGCAUUGGAGUCAACAUUGGCCAGCAUCCCUGUGGAACACUUUUGACACGUUGUAGAGUCCAUGUCCCGAUGAAUUGACUGUUCUUGGGGGCGGCACAACGCAACUCAAUAUUAUGAAGGUGUUCUUAAUGUUUUGUGCACUGUAUAUAUUCUUGUUACCAAUGUACUGAAUAGAUUAUUUAACUUUUACAUACUCUGUCAAUGUGUAAAUAAAACAUAUUUUUGACAUUACAUUUUCUAUUUUUAUAAGAUAACGCAGUUCGUACUGUGCCGCAUUGACAACAAAAUAAAAUGGAGCCUUAACUUAUGAUAAAGACUUGAUUUCUGGUCAUGGGAGGGAUCUGAUGGGGAUAUUUUAAUGAGUAGAUUUCUCAUUGUCCCCCGGCUAGAGCGAUUUACAACGUCUUGCACGGUUUUAUAUACUUAGGGUGAUCAUGAUUUUUGUUGAGUUUGAGUCAGCGGAUCAUGCCAUUACUUUUGAGUCAGCGGAUCAUGCCAUUUACUUUUGAGUCGGCGGAUCGUGCCAUUUACUUUUGAGUCGGCGGAUCGUGCCAUUUACUUUUGAGUCGGCGGAUCGUGCCAUUUACUUUUGAGUCGGCGGAUCGUGCCAUUUACUUUUGAGUCGGCGGAUCGUGCCAUUUACUUUUGAGUCGGCGGAUCGUGCCAUCUACUUUUGAGUCGGCGGAUCAUGCCAUUUACUUUUGAGUCGGCGGAUCAUGCCAUUUACUUUUGAGUCGGCGGAUCAUGCCAUUUACUUUUGAGUCGGCGGAUCAUGCCAUUUACUUUUGAGUCGGCGGAUCAUGCCAUUUACUUUUGAGUCGGCGGAUCAUGCCAUUUACUUUUGAGUCGGCGGAUCAUGCCAUUUACUUUUGAGUCGGCGGAUCAUGCCAUUUACUUUUGAGUCAGCGGAUCAUGUUAACAUAUUGUCAGUGUAGCUAUUUAAUGCCGGGAUUCAAUCCGAUCACGCUUGUAGACAACGCAGAUUUUAAAGGUAAACUUUGCAGAUGUCAGCUCAAUAUUUGAAAUGACCUUUUAAAUAUAGGUCAGAAUGAAUCCCGGUCUAACUCAACCUCCAUCAGUAUCAGGCUGGACAACAAUGUUGGCUGUUUGAGUUAAGGGUGAUUGGUUGUCUUUCUGUAUCCAAUCUCCUGUUCCUCAUUUGAGAACAAUGUUACUUCUGUGAAAACCAUUUGUGUGAAUACUUGUUAUAGAUCAGUGACUCCUGCAGGUCCGGGAACGUUGGCAUUACGUUCUGAUCAUUUAGAGUUGAUUAGUAUGGAAACUGAUCAUCAUUCAAUCAUGGGCAUGUCUAUAAGUUAUCAUAUUAGUGUUUUUAUCUUUGUAUUUUCCUCUUGGCUCUACGUAGUCACUGUGUUCAGAAGUUGCCUGCUGUGUCUCGGGGUUUGUAAAACAUGGGUGCCAUUUGGGUAGUUGCCAUGAAACUGCAUCAAUAGUGCUGGCCAUUACUUGUAUUGUAUUGCCUGAUUGACACUAUAGGGCCGAGCCAAACCGGACUCUGUAGUGUGAAUCUGGUUUAUGUGUAAAAGAUGCACUAAUCUAUCUACCAGUCUUCACAUGGAACAGUCACUUUGUUGUCAUGGUUAUAGAGUGUGGUUAGUUCUAGGACUGAUACACCGUACAGUAUUACUGAUGUGUUUUAUUACAGUGUUGGUACUGACACAUUCAAUUCCAUGUCCUCAAAAGAUUGAUAACCUACACAUCAUUUGACAUGAUUUUCUCCGGUUUGAAUAUUAGUUGAAAAUAUGUUUGGGUUUGGAAGUGGAGUGCAAUAUUUAAUCAGUCUUAAAGAUGGUGUUAAUGAAAUUAAGGCCUGGAUUCAAUCCGAUCGCAGGUUGAAGAAAAUGUGGCUUUAAAAGACAAUCUUCCAGUGUUUACGGAGAUCACAUUCACAGUAAACACUGUAUAAUUCGGGUUCAAUUGGAAAUGCCCUUUUAAAUGACUCUUUGUCGGCGAAGCACAAUCGAAUUGAAUCCCGCCUUAAUUCAUGGGUUUAAGAUUGGGUUGUAACGGCUUUGGAUCUUAAGGGCACAGUUUGCAUCUGUUCUUUUUAAAAAGGAAGUACAUAUUUAUUUUACUUCAAGUUCUUCUCUGAAUCCCUGUACUGUUUGUUCUUCCCUGUGUGUUUUAUUACAUUUUGGGGGGAAAGACAAACGUUGCAUUAGGAUGAACCGCCCCGGAUGGAUAGUUUGAAACAUUUUGAUAUGGUGAAAUAAUCCACGCUUGUUUGGUUUGAUACACAUUUUGUACGUGUUUAGUAUUCUUCCAUUCAACACUUUUUUUUUAAUGGGAGUUUUUUACUAUUUGGUGUAGUUCAGGAUGUUAACAUGCCACCAAUAUUACAUAGACCACUCAAAGGUAAAGGUCUUCGUGGGUCCACCUGAAUAACCGGGACAUGAACUUGUCUAAAAUUCAAACUUUUCCUUGGGGUCUGGGUCGGGUCCUGUUCGAUUGGUCAUUGGGUCUCGGGUCAAUUUAACUACAGCUGAUAGAUCCGAAUGGACACAACCACGGCUCUGCAUAGAAAAAAACAUUUCUUAAAAACAUAUUCUAAAACAUAUUUAUUUUAUGCUAAUACGGUGAAUUUAUUGAUUUAUAGAAGGCCUAGACAACAUACAGUAUAAAGACCUAUUCGUUAACCAGAAGUGCAACUUAGCUGAUCACUUGGGUCCAAUCAGGUCUGUUCUAGUAUUGGUCUAGGUCUGGUUGUUCUCAGGUCUGAUUUUAACCUAUUGAUCAUCCCCACAUUAUAUCUUGGGCCCAGAUCUGUUUGAUGCUUAGACAAGUCCGAUGGUCAUUGAUGACCAAUGACUAGGAGUUGGCAAAACAGCACAAGCACAAACAGAUCUGGGACCAGGCUAGACAUGUUUCUGCUCGAGUCAGAUUUAUUUCUUCUUUUUUUUCUGCAUGUGAGUGAAGAGAUUAACCGUCAUUCUUAAAAACAUGAUUUAUCCAUAAAAUGCCAGGUUAUUUUUCACACUACAAUAACCUUUGUAGCGGUUGUGUGUGUGCCUCUAUACAAUGGGAUGAUCUGUAUUUGACUACAUUUGAUGGUAGUAUUUGCAACAAUGAAAUGACAGCUUUAAAUAAGAGGCUACAUUUCUGUAGUGUUAAAUGAAAAUUUUACAAUAAACCGCAUUGUAAUCUGGCAGUGUACUUUAGUUUGAAACUUUUCUUCAACAAUUUGUUAUAAAGAGGUGAUUAUUUAUGUAUUGCCCAGUUUACUAAACUCUAGUUAAAUAACACAUUGUUGAAAAAAGGUUUGAGAUUAAAUCAUACUGCCAGAUUACAAUUCAGUUUAUGGUACACUUUGCACUUAAAGCUGGAAUCCUUACUUGAAACAAUAACAAAGGGUCAAAAGCAGAGGGGUGAACCUGGAGAAAUGUAACCACUCUCAGAUUAAUAGACAGAUCUAUGGAUGCAAGGACUGCCCAUCCAUGGUAUCAAAAUGAUAGUUUUAACCAUGUUUUGAGGCUAUACAGUGUUUGUUUACAUUUCUAUUGUUUACAAACACUUGAGUAUAAAACAAGCUUAUAUUUGGGGUUCUAAUGGGGAACGACUGCUGAACUAAGUUCAUGAGGCAUUUAUAAGUUGUAUUCUUCAAGAAUCAAUGGGUAUCAUUAAAAAUUGAUGUAGCAUCUAAGGAUUCUAGCUUUAACGCGUUACUUAACGCUAUGCGAAAACGUUUUCCCGCGUGUCUUACUGUUUUACAUGUUUUGUUCAGUUUGUUUUAGCGGCCCUGGUGUAAAAAGCUCCUUCACAUUACUGUGUAUCAUCAACAGCAUUUUCAUCACCAAUAAAAGUUGUUCUUUACUUGCUACCA